rnacentral:lncRNA from 1 species
UAGUACCAUCUGGCACCACCACAGUAUGGUUUGAUGCUCUAACCGCAUCACUCAGCACCACCACAGUAUAGCUCGGUGCCGUAAUCGCAUCAUCCGGCACCACCACAGUACAAUCUAGUGUCUCCACCGUAUCAUCCAGUACUACCAUAGGGCCAUCUGAUCCAUCCCCAGCACAAUCCAGUUCCUCUUUCACGAGACCCAAUUCCUCCCAUGAU